AGCUCGAAGAGCUUACGGGUGAGCCACCGGUCAAUCCCUGGGACACUAGCGAGUCCUUAAAAGCUCCCGAUCGGAGAUCCAUGGGAAUAGAUGGACUUUCUCUAGGACCUAUUCAAGCUUCCUUCUCAGGCUCCUCUUCUCCUUAUAUACUGACGAAUCCGAAUGCUUCUAUUCCCCUUCAUAAGUUCUAUCCUCACUUUGCUUCCUUUAGGCGUCCCCAAGAGACUUGUUAACGGAGUAAAUAUACUGAGUGACCCAUGCCUUUCUUGGUUGUAAAAACCCAACCUAAUCUUUCUAACUAAGAGCAGAUUUGCCGCAACGCAAACAGCUUAUUCAAUGCCAA
rnacentral:misc_RNA from 1 species